rnacentral:rRNA from 1 species
AACGAACGCUGGCGGCAGGCUUAACACAUGCAAGUCGAACGGUUGUAGCAAUACAGCAGUGGCGCACGGGUGAGUAACGCGUGGAUAUCUGCCUUUUGGUUUGGAAUAACUCCGGGAAACUGGAGCUAAUACCGGAUGGUUCCUACGGGAUAAAGAUUUAUCGCCAAAAAGAUGAGUCCGCGUACGAUUAGCUAGUUGGUGAGGUAAUGGCUCACCAAGGCGACGAUCGUUAGCUGGUCUGAGAGGACGAUCAGCCACACUGGGACUGAGACACGGCCCAGACUCCUACGGGAGGCAGCAGUGGGGAAUAUUGGACAAUGGGGGCAACCCUGAUCCAGCCAUGCCGCGUGAGUGAUGAAGGCCUUCGGUUGUAAGCUCUUUGCGGGACGAUGAUGACGGUACCCGC